rnacentral:rRNA from 1 species
GACGUAGGGCGCGAGCGUUGUCCGGAAUCAUUGGCGUAAAGCGCGCGUAGGUGGCCAUUUAAGUCCGCUGUGAAAGUCAAAGGCUCAACCUUUGAAAGCCGGUGGAUACUGGAUGGCUAGAGUACGGAAGAGGCGAGUGGAAUUCCUGGUGUAGCGGUGAAAUGCGCAGAUAUCAGGAGGAACACCAAUGGCGAAGGCAGCACUCUGGGACGUGACUGACGCUGAGACGCGAAAGCGUGGGGAGCAAACAGG